rnacentral:rRNA from 1 species
UACGUAGGGGCCUAGCGUUGUCCGGAUUUAUUGGGCGUAAAGAGCUCGUAGGCGGUGCGGCAAGUUGGGAGUGAAAUCUCUGGGCUUAACCCAGAGGCUGCUUCCGAAACUGCUGUGCUUGAGUGUGGGAGAGGCGCGUGGAAUUGCAGGUGUAGCGGUGAAAUGCGUAGAUAUCUGCAGGAACACCCGUGGCGAAAGCGGCGCGCUGGACCACUACUGACGCUGAGGAACGAAAGCUAGGGGAGCAAACAGG